rnacentral:rRNA from 1 species
CAGGCCUAACACAUGCAAGUCGAACGGCAGCGCGGGAGCAAUUCUGGCGGCGAGUGGCGAACGGGUGAGUAAUAUAUCGGUACGUGCCCAUUAGUGGGGGAUAGCCCGGCGAAAGCCGGAUUAAUACCGCAUACGACCUGAGGGUGAAAGCGGGGGAUCGCAAGACCUCGCGCUAUUGGAGCGGCCGAUAUCAGAUUAGCUAGUUGGUGGGGUAAAGGCCUACCAAGGCAACGAUCUGUAGUUGGUCUGAGAGGACGACCAGCCACAUUGGGACUGAGACACGGCCCAGACUCUUACGGGAGGCAGCAGUGGGGAAUUUUGGACAAUGGGCGCAAGCCUGAUCCAGCAAUGCCGCGUGCAGGAAGAAGGCCUUCGGGUUGUAAACUGCUUUUGUCAGGGAAGAAAUCCUUUGGGUUAAUAC